UACAGGGGGUGCAAACGUUGCUCGGAAUCAUUGGGCGUAAAGCGCGUGUAGGCGGCCAGAAAAGUCCGCUGUGAAAACUCGAGGCUCAACUUCGAGCUGUCGGUGGAAACUUUCUGGCUAGAGUCCGGAAGAGGAGAAUGGAAUUCCUGGUGUAGCGGUGAAAUGCGCAGAUAUCAGGAAGAACACCCGUGGCGAAGGCGGUUCUCUGGGACGGUACUGACGCUGAGACGCGAAAGCGUGGGGAGCGAACAGG
rnacentral:rRNA from 1 species